rnacentral:pre_miRNA from 2 species
AAUUCAGCUGAAAAAGUCAUAAACAUAAAAGUUGUAGAACUCAUCAAGACAUACAACUUUUAUUUUGGUCAUUUCUUCAUCCGACAAAGUGAUAGUAACAUUGUUCACAAAAUUUAUCUCUCUCAUUGUUUAUAAACCAAAUGAGAUAUAUGUAAAUUUUGUGAACAAUGUUACUAUCACUUUGUUGGAUGAAGAAAUGACCAAAAUAAAAGUUAUAGACCUUGAUGAGUUAUACAACUUUGUUGUUGAUGAAUUUUUCAGUUGAAAUC